AUGGUAGAAUUGCCAAACCAUUGUGCAUGCCAAAAAAGAAGCCAAGUUCGAUUCAAUAAUUACCUUUACUUUGUCUCUAUCUUUGGACUGAAUCAAAAUUAGAAGAAAAGCAAGGCUAUUUCCUUGACCUUCUCUGGGUUCGCCUGCAUUCCCCUAUGCGACACCAGAAAGCACAACAGCUUGCCGAAGGGGACGCCAAACACACAUUUCUCUGGAUUGAGUUGGAGAUCUACCUUGCGCAGACAGGCAAAUGUUUCUUCCAGGUCUCUGAUAAGGUUCCUUUCCUCCCAAGAUUACACCACUAUGUCGUCGACAUAG
rnacentral:rRNA from 1 species